CGCAUGCAACAUCAGGAGGAGCCAACACGGUGAUUUCGCGUGGAUAGCCACCGCCUUCUAUUUGUCCCCGCCCGCCGACUGCUGCAGGACACAACCCUGCCCCUGAGGAGAUGAAGAAUUUCCCCUAAAUAUAAUAAUGGGCCGCAAGCGAUUUAUUGCUUUGACGUGUUAACAUAACGCUAUUUUAAACAUCAACUAUGAAUCAUGCAUUUGAUAUUUCUCUCAAAUCUGCUUGUGAGCAUCCUUGUUUCCUGGCUCCAUUUGUCCAUAGCGUCAGCGUCACUUGGAGUUGAGAAUGAGGUUGCCAGGGACGCAGUGUCAUUGUUGCUGGAGCAGGAGGCUGCUGCAGCAGCAGCGGGAGCCUGGGAGAACACUACCCACGCCGCAGCAGAGCAUGUGAUCACCUACCCCUCCCGCCUAAUCUACUACCUGAAUGAGAACUCAGAGAGCACCUACCAUGACCUGGACACUCGCACCAGGAAUCAAGUUAGCGAGAGUCCGGUGGUCCACCUUGCUCAAGCCAGUUUUCAGUUAGAGGCCUUUGGUUCCAGAUUUGUGCUGGACUUAUCUUUAAACAAUGAUCUAUUGUCCUCAGAUUAUGUGGAGAUCCAUGUUGGAGAGGGCAAACCCGUCCAUUCAAAGGGUGGAGAGCACUGUUACUACCAUGGUCAAAUUCGAGGAAUCAAUGACUCACUUGCCGCCCUGUCAACCUGCAACGGGCUGCAUGGAAUGUUUGAUGAUGGAGUCUAUGUGUAUCUAAUUGAGCCCCUGGAACAGACUCACUCUAUUAAUAGUGCUGCACGGCCCCACACCCUCCGCAGAGCCGCCUCCCUCAGCAGCCGCCAGGACCUGGAGGACGCAGCAGGAGGGGAGGAGCUGCUCUCGGAGUUAGAUGACAUGUCUUGGCUGAAGCGCAGGAAAAAGCGAGCUAUGCCACGUAAUGUGUUUGAAGAGAUGAAGUACUUGGAGAUCAUGAUCGUCAGUGAUCACAACAUGUUUAAACGGCACAAGAACUUGCAGCACACCAAGAACUUUGCCAAGUCUGUGGUCAAUUUUGUGGAUGCUAUCUUCAAAGAGCAGCUUCACACUCGUGUGGUUCUGAUGGCCAUGGAGGUCUGGAUGGACAAGGACCAGAUCCCCAUCAGUGUGAUUCCGCUGGACAUGCUGAGGGACUUCUCCAAGUACCGGCAGCAGCACAUCAAGCAGCGUGCCGACGCCGUGCACCUCUUCUCCAAUGUGACAUUCCACUACCGCAGGAGCAGUGUGGGCUACUUUGGGGGCAUGUGCUCUGUGAGCCGAGGAGUUGGGGUCAAUGAGUACGGCGCGACGUGGACCAUGGCUGCAUCGCUGUCUCAGAGCCUGGCUCAGAACCUGGGCAUUCAGUGGGAUCCAGAAAAGCGAAAGGAGUGUGGCUGCCUAGAUACCUGGGUGGGAUGCAUCAUGGAAGACACGGGGAUACAGCACCCCCGUAAGUUCUCCAAAUGUAGUAUCACCGACUAUAAGGAGUUCUUACUGAAGGGCGGGGGUUCCUGUCUCUUCAACAGGCCCAAUAAGCUCUUUGAGCCAACUGAGUGCGGGAAUGGCUAUGUGGAGGUCGGAGAGGAGUGUGACUGUGGCGUCAAAGGGGAUUGCCUUAAGGAGUGCUGUAAGAAAUGCUCACUGUCCAAUGGUGCUCACUGCAGUGACGGCCCCUGCUGCAACAAUUCCUGUCUGUUCUACCGCCGAGGCUUUAGCUGUCGCUAUGCGGUGAACGACUGUGACAUUUCCGAGACAUGCUCAGGAGACUCCGGACAGUGCCCACCAAAUCUUCAUAAACAAGAUGGCUACUUCUGUCAUCUUAACCAGGGACGCUGCUAUGGUGGAGAAUGCAAGACUCGAGAAAGCCAAUGCAAAUACGUGUGGGGCUUUGCGGCCGGGGGCUCGGAGAAGUUCUGCUACGAGAAGCUGAACACCGAAGGCACAGAGAAAGGCAACUGCGGAAAGGACGGAGAGAAGUGGCUCCCAUGUAGCAAGCAUGAUGUGUUUUGUGGCUAUCUGCUGUGCACCAACACUGGCCGCACCCCACGGAUUGGAAUGAUGAAAGGUGAAAUCACCCCAACUAGCUUCAACCACCACGGCCAAACAAUGGACUGCAGUGGGGGCCAUGUGCUUCUGGACGACGAUACUGACCUAGGCUAUGUGCAGGACGGCACGCCCUGUGGUCCGUCCAUGAUGUGCCUUGACCGCAAGUGUCUGCCCAUUCAGUCCCUCAACCUGAGUGCCUGCCCCAGCCCAAAUGGCCACGUGUGUUCAGCCCAUGGGGUUUGCAAUAAUGAAGGCACAUGCAGCUGUGACACCACCUGGGCAGGGACUGACUGUAGCAUGCCCGACCCACCAAAGGAACCAGCUCCCUCUGAGGACGAAGGACCCAAGGGUUUGUUUAUGCCUUGUCCUCUGAACAAAAUAACAGUACAAUCACACAAUUUCAAAGUCUCGUUCACUUAAGAGUGAAUGAAUGAAUGUACAAAUGGCCUAAGCUACUGUAUGUUUUACUUUGGUUUGAAGAAAGCUUUUAGCCACUGUGUUUUCUGAUGUUGGUCGUAAAUGGCUCUAGUGCCUAUCAAUGAGCGCUGACAGUCAAAUUUGUGCUGUGUAUGCAACUGUGUAUAUGAACUUUUGAUCUCUCUGUGUCCUGAGUGCAGUAUUGUUCAUGCAUGGUUCAGCACUACUCAUCAAAGACUGGUAUAUUACCUCAAUCACAUAUCAGACUUCACAAAAGUGUCACCAUCUCCUUCUCAAAUUUACUCUGUCUAAUCAGUUUUAUUUCCAGCGCCAGGUCCAAGAGCUGUUAGCCAGGCUCGCUAGCACCGGGCCAAUACGCUUGUAGGGGAAGUAGGAGGGGUAUGGAUAAUUCCGUGGUUGCCAAGGUGACAGGACGGAGGCUAUUUUUUUUGGUUGUUCUCUGCAGGUGGUAAUAAUGUUCCUUCUCCCUCUACGCAGUGAAUGUGGCCACAAACAGGCUGAUAGGGGCAGUAGCAGGGACCAUACUGGCCCUGGGGGUGAUAUUUGGAGGCACAGGGUGGGGCAUAGAGAGUGUGAAAAAGCGACGAGGGUACGACCCCAACGCUGGCGGCAUCUAGAGGAGGACCAGCGAAGCGGACAAUGUUCCCAGGCUUCAUCAGUAGUCUUCAGUUCCUCUUACUGCUGCUGCUCUUCAACCUUAGUUUUACUUGAACUGUAGAGGAUUAUCCAAUAGAGGACACUUUUAAAACUCCCAUUCUAGUAGAAACGCAGCUUCUCUGAUCUGACCUGCUCUGGCCUAACCUUCCAUCUCAAUCUCUUAUAGUUCCAUCCAGGACCGCAGCCCAAAACGCACUCCAUUCUCUCAGCAGGCAUGACCUCCUGUACAGAGCGCUUGCUAGCCUUGGCAUGAAGGGUCCUCACUAAAGGAUUCUGCAUGGCUAAGAAAGCUAUCGAUAUUCAGCAAACAAAAAAUAAUAAAUACAUUUCUAUAGUUAAAA